UCUCCAGUGCCAUGGAAAUUGCGGAAAACCUGUUCAACCAAGUUUUCAGAUUGUAUCCCUGAGGGCAUUGUGUCCAACCGUGGACCACAGUUCAUCUCCCACAUCUGGAAAUUAUUCUGCUACGGCUCACCGUCACAUCCAGCAAGCCUCUCAGAGACCGAAUAGGUCCUCCGACAGGCACCAUUGAACCAUCCCGCUAUUCUACCCUGGUCAGCAAGUAUGGUUGUCAACCUGGGACAUCCGUCUCUGUCUUCCCAGCAAAAAGCUGAGCCCCAGCCUGUGCAUUAUAGCCCUCUUCAUCCACCCA
ensembl:lncRNA